GCACCCAUUCUGCCCGCCUCAGAAUGAAAAAAGAGACAGAGUUUGGGGCUGGGCCUCUUCAGUGAUCUGAGCCAAAUAUCCCCUUCUACGUCUUCAGCCACCUGGAGGGGAGUCUGGUCUAGCUGACACCCCUCCUAGCUCAUCCUGCGCUGUCUUCCACUGCCGGCCCCCCCCCCCCCCGCCUCCCGGAGCCCCCCCCCUACUCUCUCAUUUUACCUUCCAUGCCUGAAACAGCUUUCUCCACUCCGUAUACCUGGUAAACUCCUACUUGCCCGGGCUCAGGUCAGGCACCACCUCCUCCAAGAAGCCUUCUCUGAUUCCCUCAGGCACAGGUCACCUGUCUUUUCCCACACUCCCACCACACCCAGUAGGUUUCUCUGGGAAACCUUUGUUCAGUAGGGCCUGCCAGCCUAAAAGAUCUUGUCAAGCUUUAUUUGCCAUAGUCAUAUUAUGAAAAUAGGGAUUUUUUUAUUCCCUUCCAAAUACAAAAUGAUGUUUUAACAGUUAAUGUAAAUUUUCAAUCAAUGUCUACCCCUACCCCGGACAGUCUGAAUUACUCCCCUGGAGAGAUGUCUUCCCUACCCUUGAUUGAAAAACUGCAGCAAAACAUCCCUCAUUGAUUCAGUAAACAUCCAGGUGGCCCCUUUGGUGGAAAGCAUCAUGCUGAGCGCUGGACACACAAAUUAUAAAAGUGUGUUAUAAUUGUCCCUUUCUCUGUACUAGCUAGGAAAAUGCAGGGAAGAUUCCUGCCAAACUGUUUAACUGACACUACUUUGGAAGCUGGUGGUACAGGGACGGAUGGGGGACUUUCCCUUAGUAUAUUAUGUAAUUUUAAAGUGACAGGGUUAGGGGUGUUUUUUACUUUCUUAGUAUUUUUCAAGUAAAACAUUUCUUGGUGGUUCAUUGGUGUGUGUUUCCCUACAAGACCGGGAGGCUUUAGGGGGCAAGGAAGGGUCUGAGUCACUUCUAAGUCUUUAGCUUCGCGCCAGGGCCUGACACACAGGGGCCUAGGAAAUGUCUGUGAAAUGACCAUAGGACAGAGCUGAGCAGUCAUGGGAAGUAGAACUGGCAGGCCCAAGAGACAUAGACUGAGGAGAGGGGUCAAGCCCAGGGGUGGAAUCGCUGUGGAUGCAGGGAGGCAGUAACACAGGAGGAAUGUGGUACCCACGUUCCGGGUUGUUCCUGGUCGGCAUGGUGCCUGGAACUGGGGAUAAACAUUCGUCUGUUGGGGAAAUGAGGUCACAGGGUGACAGAACUCCCAGAAAACAAACUCUUGGUCCUGGCUUUGCAAUUGCAGACAACAGGACUGAGCAGAUCAGAGCCGGGGAGGGAGGAGCCAGAGGAAGGGGUUGGCAGGACGGUUAGAGGAGGCGUCCUUGAGAAUCAGAGACUGGGCGGAACAGCAGGUGGCAGAGGACUAGCCUGCUACAGCCUGGGUCGCUGGGUCCUUGGGUCGCAGGGAACUUGGGGGAGGUGGUUCUAGGAGUUUACGAACAGAAGGAAUGCCUCCUGCUCCCAAGGGGGAAUGGUUUGGCCGGUUUGCACUGGGUGGCUCUCUCCCUCCCCCUCCCUGUGGCCUUUGUUCCUUCCACAGAUAUUUCCUCAGGCAUCUUCAGACACAGCACUGGUGAUUAGGGCCAGAAGGAGAGGAAAGGGCUGGGGACCCCCAGAGGAGGCAGGAGGCAGGAGAUUAUAAACCAGCUGGAGGGAGGGAAGUCAUGGAAAACUUCCUGGAGGUGUGGACUCCCAAGCUGAGGCUUAAAGGCUGAAGAGGAGCUGUCCAGAACCAGGCCCGGAGGCAGGAAGCCCUAAGAAGGCAGAUACCAGCUCAGCGUUAAGGACGGUCUCACAUGGAAGCAUUGGUAAGUAGUCGAACGGGUCUGCUGGAAGCUGAACUCUGUCAAGGGAACGACCUUAUGGGUACUGGACACUUCUGUGUAGACGGCAUCUGGCCCUGGGGUUUCAUGGAAAGGGGUGGGUAGAGAGAAAGAAAAGCAACCCAAGGAGCAGCCAUUGUGGGAAACACAGGGCUGAGGGAAGUCAAACAAGGUUUCUUGCUGCAGGACUUCUCAGGACCUUCACUGCCCUGGAACACGGGCUACAGACUCAAAUGUUUACAGAACCCAGGCAGACAGCACAAAUGGGUGACAGGGGCAAGUGUGAAUGGGGUGGAGAGUGCAGGCCUGUCAGGAGGGGAAGCCUGCUCAACUCCUACUCUGUUCUGCCGACUAUCCUUACGGGAAAUUUUUUGGCCACUAUCAUGGGUUGAAUCAGGGCUCCCCAAAAGAUACGUCAGAAGUCCUAACCCCCAGUGCCAGUAAAUGACCGUAUUCGGAAACACGGUCUUUGCAGAUGUAAUCAAAGUAAAUGAGGUCAUUAGGGUGGGCCCUAAUCCAGUGAUCGGUGGGAAGUGUGAACACAGAGACAGAUGUGCACAGAGAGAAGGUGGCCAUAUGACCAUGGAGGCAGAGAUUGGAGCGAUCCAGCUAUGAGAACACCAAGGAUUUCUGGUACUUCCAGAAGCUAGAGGAAGCAAAGAGGGGUUCUCCCUAGAGCCACCCAGUUUGUGGGGCUUUGUCAUGACAGCCCCAGGAAACAAAUACAGCCACUAACUCAUGA